CCCUGCCCUUUGUACACACCGCCCGUCGUUGUUUCCGAUGAUGGUGCAAUACAGGUGAUCGGACUGAUGGAUGUUUCAUCCGUCUGGAAGUUCACCGAUAUUAUUUCAAUAGAGGAAGCAAAAGUCGUAACAAG
rnacentral:rRNA from 1 species